UUAAGCGACUAAGCGUACACGGUGGAUGCCCAGGCAGUCAGAGGCGAUGAAGGACGUGCUAAUCUGCGAAAAGCGUCGGCGAGGUGAUAUGAACCUUUGACCCGGCGAUGUCCGAAUGGGGAAACCCAGUGCAAUCCGUUGCACUAUCGUUAACUGAAUACAUAGGUUAACGAGGCGAACCGGGGGAACUGAAACAUCUAAGUACCCCGAGGAAAAGAAAUCAACCGAGAUUCCCCCAGUAGCGGCGAGCGAACGGGGAGCAGCCCGGAGUCUGAAUCAGCUUGUGUGUUAGUGGAACGGUCUGGAAAGUCCGACGGUACAGGGUGAUAGUCCCGUACACGAAAAUGCACAUGCUGUGAACUCGAAGAGUAGGGCGGGACACGUGGUAUCCUGUCUGAAUAUGGGGGGACCAUCCUCCAAGGCUAAAUACUCCUGACUGACCGAUAGUGAACCAGUACCGUGAGGGAAAGGCGAAAAGAACCCCGGCGAGGGGAGUGAAAAAGAACCUGAAACCGUGUACGUACAAGCAGUGGGAGCCUCUUUAUGGGGUGACUGCGUACCUUUUGUAUAAUGGGUCAGCGACUUAUAUUCUGUAGCAAGGUUAACCGUAUAGGGGAGCCGAAGGGAAACCGAGUCUUAACUGGGCGUUAAGUUGCAGGGUAUAGACCCGAAACCCGGUGAUCUAGCCAUGGGCAGGUUGAAGGUUGGGUAACACUAACUGGAGGACCGAACCGACUAAUGUUGAAAAAUUAGCGGAUGACCUGUGGCUGGGGGUGAAAGGCCAAUCAAACCGGGAGAUAGCUGGUUCUCCCCGAAAGCUAUUUAGGUAGCGCCUCGUGAAUUCAUCUUCGGGGGUAGAGCACUGUUUCGGCUAGGGGGCCAUCCCGGCUUACCAACCCGAUGCAAACUACGAAUACCGAAGAAUGUUAUCACGGGAGACACACGGCGGGUGCUAACGUCCGUCGUGAAGAGGGAAACAACCCAGACCGCCAGCUAAGGUCCCAAAGUCAUGGUUAAGUGGGAAACGAUGUGGGAAGGCACAGACAGCCAGGAUGUUGGCUUAGAAGCAGCCAUCAUUUAAAGAAAGCGUAAUAGCUCACUGGUCGAGUCGGCCUGCGCGGAAGAUGUAACGGGGCUAAACCAUGCACCGAAGCUGCGGCAGCGACGCUUAUGCGUUGUUGGGUAGGGGAGCGUUCUGUAAGCCGUUGAAGGUGUGCUGUGAGGCAUGCUGGAGGUAUCAGAAGUGCGAAUGCUGACAUAAGUAACGAUAAAGCGGGUGAAAAGCCCGCUCGCCGGAAGACCAAGGGUUCCUGUCCAACGUUAAUCGGGGCAGGGUGAGUCGACCCCUAAGGCGAGGCCGAAAGGCGUAGUCGAUGGGAAACAGGUUAAUAUUCCUGUACUUGGUGUUACUGCGAAGGGGGACGGAGAAGGCUAUGUCAGCCGGGCGACGGUUGUCCCGGUUUAAGCAUGUAGGCGGAGGUUCCAGGUAAAUCCGGUACCUUGUUAACGCUGAGGUGUGAUGACGAGGCACUACGGUGCUGAAGUGAUAAAUGCCCUGCUUCCAGGAAAAGCCUCUAAGCAUCAGGUAACACGAAAUCGUACCCAAACCGACACAGGUGGUCAGGUAGAGAAUACCAAGGCGCUUGAGAGAACUCGGGUGAAGGAACUAGGCAAAAUGGUGCCGUAACUUCGGGAGAAGGCACGCUGAUGUGUAGGUGAAGCCCCUGCGGGUGGAGCUGAAAUCAGUCGAAGAUACCAGCUGGCUGCAACUGUUUAUUAAAAACACAGCACUGUGCAAACACGAAAGUGGACGUAUACGGUGUGACGCCUGCCCGGUGCCGGAAGGUUAAUUGAUGGGGUUAGCGGCAACGCGAAGCUCUUGAUCGAAGCCCCGGUAAACGGCGGCCGUAACUAUAACGGUCCUAAGGUAGCGAAAUUCCUUGUCGGGUAAGUUCCGACCUGCACGAAUGGCGUAAUGAUGGCCAGGCUGUCUCCACCCGAGACUCAGUGAAAUUGAACUCGCUGUGAAGAUGCAGUGUACCCGCGGCAAGACGGAAAGACCCCGUGAACCUUUACUAUAGCUUGACACUGAACACUGGUCCUUGAUGUGUAGGAUAGGUGGGAGGCUUUGAAGCGUGGACGCCAGUCUGCGUGGAGCCAACCUUGAAAUACCACCCUUUAAUGGCUGGUGUUCUAACGUAGACCCGUAAUCCGGGUUGCGGACAGUGUCUGGUGGGUAGUUUGACUGGGGCGGUCUCCUCCCAAAGAGUAACGGAGGAGCACGAAGGUUGGCUAAUCCUGGUCGGACAUCAGGAGGUUAGUGCAAUGGCAUAAGCCAGCUUGACUGCGAGCGUGACGGCGCGAGCAGGUGCGAAAGCAGGUCAUAGUGAUCCGGUGGUUCUGAAUGGAAGGGCCAUCGCUCAACGGAUAAAAGGUACUCCGGGGAUAACAGGCUGAUACCGCCCAAGAGUUCAUAUCGACGGCGGUGUUUGGCACCUCGAUGUCGGCUCAUCACAUCCUGGGGCUGAAGUAGGUCCCAAGGGUAUGGCUGUUCGCCAUUUAAAGUGGUACGCGAGCUGGGUUUAGAACGUCGUGAGACAGUUCGGUCCCUAUCUGCCGUGGGCGCUGGAGAAUUGAGGGGGGCUGCUCCUAGUACGAGAGGACCGGAGUGGACGCAUCACUGGUGUUCGGGUUGUCAUGCCAAUGGCACUGCCCGGUAGCUAAAUGCGGAAGAGAUAAGUGCUGAAAGCAUCUAAGCACGAAACUUGCCCCGAGAUGAGUUCUCCCUGAGACCUUGAGUCUCCUGAAGGAACGUUAAAGACUAUGACGUUGAUAGGUCGGGUGUGUAAGCGCAGCGAUGCGUUGAGCUAACCGAUACUAAUGAACCGUGAGGCUUAACCU
rnacentral:rRNA from 1 species